rnacentral:rRNA from 1 species
CACGUAGGGGGCGAGCGUUGUCCGGAUUUACUGGGCGUAAAGAGCGCGCAGGCGGCUGGUCAAGUCCGAUGUGAAAUCUCCCGGCUUAACUGGGAAACUGCAUCGGAAACUGAUCGGCUUGAAGGUGGGAGAGGGUAGUGGAAUUCCCGGUGUAGUGGUGAAAUGCGUAGAUAUCGGGAGGAACACCAGUGGCGAAGGCGACUACCUGGCCCACUCUUGACGCUGAGGCGCGAAAGCUAGGGGAGCGAACGGG